UACGUAGGGUCCGAGCGUUGUCCGGAUUUAUUGGGCGUAAAGAGCUCGUAGGCGGUGUGUCGCGUCGGCCGUGAAAACCUGCAGCUUAACUGUGGGCUUGCGGUCGAUACGGGCAUCACUGGAGUUCGGCAGGGGAGACUGGAAUUCCUGGUGUAGCGGUGAAAUGCGCAGAUAUCAGGAGGAACACCGGUGGCGAAGGCGGCUCACUGGCCCGAUACUGACGCUGAGGCACGAAAGCGUGGGGAGCAAACAGG
rnacentral:rRNA from 1 species